rnacentral:rRNA from 1 species
UACGUAGGGGGCAAGCGUUGUCCGGAUUUACUGGGCGUAAAGAGCGCGUAGGCGGAGAUCUAAGCGUGGCCUGAAAGCCCCCGGCUCAACCGGGGAGUGCGGCUGCGAACUGGGUUUCUUGAGGACGAUAGAGGAGAGUGGAAUUCCUGGUGUAGCGGUGGAAUGCGCAGAUAUCAGGAGGAACACCGGUGGCGAAGGCGGGUCUCUGGGCAGUAACUGACGCUGAGGAGCGAAAGCGUGGGGAGCGAACAGG